rnacentral:rRNA from 1 species
GAUGAACGCUAGCGGCAGGCCUAAUACAUGCAAGUCGAACGAGAUUGUUGUAGCAAUAUGACAUGAAAGUGGCGCACGGGUGCGUAACACGUAUGCAAUCUACCUUUGAUAGGGGAAUAGCUUCGAGAAAUCGGAAUUAAUGCCCCAUAACAUAUUUGAGUGGCAUCACUCGAUUAUCAAACCUCCGGGGAUCAAGGAUGAGCAUGCGCAACAUUAGCUAGUUGGUGAGGUAAUGGCUCACCAAGGCUACGAUGUUUAGGGGGUCUGAGAGGAUGAUCCCCCACACUGGUACUGAGACACGGACCAGACUCCUACGGGAGGCAGCAGUAGGGAAUAUUGGUCAAUGGAGGCAACUUUGAACCAGCCAUGCCGCGUGCAGGAUGACGGCCCUCUGGGUUGUAAACUGCUUUUAUACGGGAAGAAAAAGAGCUACGUGUAGCUUAUUGACGGUAGUCGGAGAAGAAGCCCCGGCUAACUUCGUGCCAGCCGCCGCUGUAA